AUGCAGUGAAGCCGACUUCCUGUUUAAGCUUCCACCGCGGUAGCCAAUUCAGCCAUUUUUUAAAAGCUUUAAACUUUUCCGCUUUUUUACCAAAGUUCCAAAUUAGUCCAAAUUCUACUCUUUUGUCCAAUUCCUCUACUCACGGUUAGUUUUUAAGUCCGAAUUUCCCAGGAAUAAGUCAGCGCUCUCCAGCAACGGCAACGCGGCUUCGCUCAGCGGGAGCAGCGAUCCGCUCGCAGCACCGCGCUUCUCUCCCCCGCUCCCUUCCGAAGCCCCAAAAAGGCUUCUUUUCAGGUUGGGGGGGCGCUUCAGGGUGCCCGCCGAGCCUCCACGUUCGCAGGCGUCCGCGCCUGCGAUUUCUGAGGGUCCCCGCUUCGCCGGAGCGCACAGGACCCGAUCUCCCGCUGAGCUACC